rnacentral:rRNA from 1 species
AUUGAACGCUGGCGGCAGGCCUAACACAUGCAAGUCGAGCGGAGCGGCGGACGGGUGAGUAAUGCCUAGGAAUCUGCCUGGUAGUGGUGGAUAACGUCCGGAAACGGGCGCUAAUACCGCAUACUAUCAGAUGAGCCUAGGUCGGAUUGGCUAGUUGGUGGGGUAAAGGCCUACCAGGGCGACGAUCCGUACCUGGUCUGAGGGGAUGAGCAGUCACAUUGGAACGGGGAAACGGCCCAGACCCCUACGGGAGGCAGCAGUGGGGAAUAUUGGACAAUGGGCGAAAGCCUGAUCCAGCCAGGCCGCGGGUGGGAAGAAGGUCUUCGGAUUGUAAAGCACUUUAAGCGGGGAGGCGUUACCAACAGAAUAAGCACCGGCUAACUUCGUGCCAGCAGCCGCGGUAAUAC